rnacentral:rRNA from 1 species
CACUAGCAUCUAUNAACCUCGCUUCGAAAUGCGAUAUGUCAUGNGACUUNCAGAAUUCAGUGAAUCAUCGAAUCUUUGAUCGCAUAUUGCA